rnacentral:ncRNA from 1 species
AGAAUGUAAAAACACAAUUCGAUUGGUAGUCCGAAUGCAUUCAUAAAUAUAUGAAUGUCAGUAACCUUCCCCUCCUCGGGAUGUCCGUCAUUCGAAUUUUU